GAGAUCAUGGCGAAAAGGCAAACGCGGCGGUCUGUGAAUCCGCAAGUACCAGUUCGAGUCUGGUUGGUCUCC
rnacentral:tRNA from 1 species